rnacentral:tRNA from 1 species
AAGAAAUAUAUUUUUAAGCUUCUAACUUUUAUAAGAGCAUCUAAUUGUUCAUAUUUCUA